rnacentral:rRNA from 1 species
GACGAACGCUGGCGGCGUGCCUAAUACAUGCAAGUAGAACGCUGAAGAGAGGAGCUUACUCUUCUUGGAUGAGUUGCGAACGGGUGAGUAACGCGUAGGUAACCUGCCUUGUAGCGGGGGAUAACUAUUGGAAACGAUAGCUAAUACCGCAUAACAAUGGAUGACACAUGUCAUUUAUUUGAAAGGGGCAAUUGCUCCACUACAAGAUGGACCUGCGUUGUAUUAGCUAGUAGGUGAGGUAAUGGCUCACCUAGGCGACGAUACAUAGCCGACCUGAGAGGGUGAUCGGCCACACUGGGACUGAGACACGGCCCAGACUCCUACGGGAGGCAGCAGUAGGGAAUCUUCGGCAAUGGGGGCAACCCUGACCGAGCAACGCCGCGGGAGUGAAGAAGGGUUUCGGAUCGUAAAGCUCGGUUGUAAGUCAAGAACGGGUGUGAGAGUGGAAAGUUCACACUGUGACGGUAGCUGACCAGAAAGGGACGGCUAACUACGUG